AGAGUUUGAUCCUGGCUCAGGAUGAACGCUGGCGGCGUGCCUAAUACAUGCAAGUCGAGCGAACGGACGAGAAGCUUGCUUCUCUGAUGUUAGCGGCGGACGGGUGAGUAACACGUGGAUAACCUACCUAUAAGACUGGGAUAACUUCGGGAAACCGGAGCUAAUACCGGAUAAUAUUUUGAACCGCAUGGUUCAAAAGUGAAAGACGGUCUUGCUGUCACUUAUAGAUGGAUCCGCGCUGCAUUAGCUAGUUGGUAAGGUAACGGCUUACCAAGGCAACGAUGCAUAGCCGACCUGAGAGGGUGAUCGGCCACACUGGAACUGAGACACGGUCCAGACUCCUACGGGAGGCAGCAGUAGGGAAUCUUCCGCAAUGGGCGAAAGCCUGACGGAGCAACGCCGCGUGAGUGAUGAAGGCCUUCGGAUCGUAAAACUCUGUUAUUAGGGAAGAACAUAUGUGUAAGUAACUGUGUACAUCUUGACGGUACCUAAUCAGAAAGCCACGGCUAACUACGUGCCAGCAGCCGCGGUAAUACGUAGGUGGCAAGCGUUAUCCGGAAUUAUUGGGCGUAAAGCGCGCGUAGGCGGUUUUUUAAGUCUGAUGUGAAAGCCCACGGCUCAACCGUGGAGGGUCAUUGGAAACUGGAAAACUUGAGUGCAGAAGAGGAAAGUGGAAUUCCAUGUGUAGCGGUGAAAUGCGCAGAGAUAUGGAGGAACACCAGUGGCGAAGGCGACUUUCUGGUCUGUAACUGACGCUGAUGUGCGAAAGCGUGGGGAUCAAACAGGAUUAGAUACCCUGGUAGUCC
rnacentral:rRNA from 1 species